UAUGAAACUGGGGUGCAUGUUCCUGUAUCUCAAGCUCCGGCGGUGUUGGAUCAGCCCACGGCCUAUCAGCUAGUUGGUGGGGUAGAGGCCUACCAAGGCGACGACGGGUAGUUGGCCUGAGAGGGCGACCGGCCCCCCUGGGACUGAGACACGGGCCAGACUCCUACGGGAGGCAGCAGUGGGGAAUAUUGCACAAUGGGCGAAAGCCUGAUGCAGCGACGCCGCGUGCGGGAUGACGGCCUUCGGGUUGUAAACCUCUUUCAGCAGGGAAGAAGCUUUCUGGUGACGGUACCUGCAGUAAAAGCACCGGCUAACUACGU
rnacentral:rRNA from 1 species